ACGGGUCUCAGUUAAAAUCACUACAAGUUGAAAUUUAAUCUGAAAUUGUUACUAGUUAAAAAAGCUGGUUAAGUAUUGGAAGCAAAUCAAUCAAGAUCUGACACCUUGACUCAAGCCGAAGCGGUGGACAACACUAAAUCUCCGGCCAAAAGGAUAAUUUUUUUCUUUGUUUCGUGUGCCAAAAGAUCAAGGUGAAUAGAAAAUGGAUGUGGUGACUUUCGGAAUCAUAGUCGGACUUAUCAUUCUCUUCUUCUGCAUCGUUUGCUUCAUCACCAUUGAAGCCACUUGCAUGCGCCGCUCUUCAUCUAGAUAAGAUGUUUCUUUCUUACUGAAUCCACUUUUUUAACUCUUGCUUAUUUCUUCAUCUAGCAAAUUUACAUAAAUUUAUUUUUGAUCCGUUGGAUUUCCAACUUUGCCGUUAUUUUCCGGGUCCGGAGAAAAAUUGAUGAGGUGUGUCUAUUCACUAUUCAGGCUUCAGUUAUUGGUACUAUUGUUUGGAAAAUGUCGCUAAGUUUACAAUUUUGUAACGAAUUAUAUUCCAGUAGCCAGAAGAUCUCAUAUUUUCUAUCUUAAAUUGAGUGUUUGUAUGUAGA